AAAAGAUAGAAUUCCCAAAUUUAGAAGGUUAUCUUUUUGGCAUGUAUCUCGGACGGCGAAUGAAGCGGUACAUGCAGUAGAAGUGAGAGGACACCGUAUGACUCUCUAAUUUACUGGACGGAAAAAGUCUCAACAAAAGUGGAGCAUCUCAUCACAAGUGAUAGGAGGAUAUUUCAAAAAGGAUAGCCAAAUGAUGAUUUUUUUGAGUUCGAAGGAAGUACUAGUGGUUAUCUCCGAGGAGCUUAGUGGUCUGAGGGGCUGGGCAAGAGCGAGAAGGCAUCAAUGAAGAUUUUGAGGGAAGCUAAUUUCUUAGGAGGCUUUCUCAGAUGCAAGAAAGAGGUAAGGUUUUCAAGAGAAGAUUAAAGGGUCUUUUUAGGAUUUUUUUUUCGUUUUGCUUUAAGUUUUAGUCUGUAACUAUGUGCUUAAUUGUUAAGAUUUGCAUUAAUUGUUUUUGGCGCUUAGAAUUACCUAAGGUACCACCCAAUUUAGCCAUUAAUUGUGGGGCAGUUGUAAGGACGCUGGCAAGCCAA
rnacentral:lncRNA from 1 species